ACCCCCUGCGUGUCCCUUGGGUGCCAUUGGGGUGUUGGUGGCCAUCUGCGGGUCCCUUGGGUGCUCUCAUGGGGUGCCAGCGACCCCCACCCACCCCUGGGGUCCCACAGGGUGCUGGUGGCCCUGGCGGGUCCCUAGGGUGGCAUCGGUCACCCCGGGGCGGUGGUGGGUGGCGGGGGGGACCCCAGUAGGUCCCUUGGGUGCCCCAGGUCACCCUGAAGUCCCCAGGGGGAUGGGGGGACCCCGGCAGGUCCCUUGGGUGCCCCAGGUCCCUUGGGUGCCCCGGGUCACCCUGCAGCCCCCAGGGUGAUAGUGGGUGAUGGGGGGGACCCCAGUAGGUCCCUUGGGGUGCCCUGGGUCACCCUGCAGUCCCCAGAGUGAUGGGGGGACCCCAGCAGGUCCCUUGGGUGCCCCAGGUCACCCUGCAGUCCCCAGGGUGAUAGUGGGUGGGUGGGGGACCCCAGAAGGUCCCUUGGGUGCCACAGGUCCCUUGGGUGCCCCGGGUCCCCCCCCAGUCCCCAAAGACCCCCCCUGAAUCACCUCCAGCUUCCCACCACCCCAACUAACUUGGCCCUCCCCCCCCCCCAUCCCCCUUAUCCCCCUUUUUUAUUUUUUUCCUUUUCUUUUUUUUCCCUUUUUUCCCUUUUUUUCCCCCCAAAACCAGCGCGGCCCCCCCGCGGGUGCCGGUGGCGUCGCCGUCGGCUCACAACAUCAGCCAGGGGCUGUGCGAGAGACCCAGUUUUCCCCGGGGGGUGUCGAGCCGCAGCACCUUCCACGCCGGGCAGCUCAGGCAGGCUCGGGACCAAGCCCCCCUGCCCUACGCCGUGCCCCCCCCUCCAGCCUCCCCCUCGGGCGCCAGCCAGGGGCGCCGCGGCCCCUCCGCCAGCCUCUUCAGCAAGUUCACCUCCAAGUUCGUCCGCAGGUGAGGCCCCCCCCCAAAAAAAAAAAGUCUCUUUAUUAUUUUUAUUUUUUUUUUAUUUUUUUAUUUUUUUCCCCCUCCCCAGCCCCAAAAUUGGGGUG
rnacentral:lncRNA from 1 species